rnacentral:rRNA from 1 species
UACGGAGGGUGCGAGCGUUGUCCGGAAUCACUGGGCGUAAAGGGCGCGUAGGUGGCCUGUGGAAGUCUGCGGUGAAAGCCCGGCGCUCAACGCCGGGUCGGCCGUGGAUACUCUCGGGCUUGAGCUUACUAGAGGCAGAUGGAAUUCCGGGUGUAGCGGUGGAAUGCGUAGAGAUCCGGAAGAACACCGGUGGCGAAGGCGGUCUGCUGGGGUAAUGCUGGACACUGAUGCGCGACACGUGGGGAGCAAACAGGAGU